rnacentral:lncRNA from 1 species
CCAGGAAUUAAUGUUACGGGGGACAAAACUUUAGAAAUUCUAUGUACGAAUAAAAUUCAUAAAUAACAAAAAAAGUCAUAAUAUAAUAUUAUCAGUUACAGUUAUACCCGAUGAUGCUUUAUAGCAUAAAAUUCAUCAAUAAUAGAAUCUAAAUCUACAUUCAAAGAAAAUUCUCGUUCAAUGUAAAGUGUCAUACAAUCAACAAGAAAGCCAUCAUCCAUUUUGUUACAAAUUUCCGACUUCACAUGUUUCUUUGCAGAAAAUGCUCGCUCUACGGUAGCCGUUGAAAUAGGCAGCGACAAUACUAGACGAAUCAAUUUAGUCAAAUUGACGUAACUCUCCAAUCUUCUACUUGCAACCAAUUCUUGACAUAAAUCAGAAAGUGUAGAUACUUGAAAUCGAGGCUCAGAAAUCACAUCAUGCUGAUAAUGUUGCAACUCAACUUUCAAACUAUAAAUAUCUUGCUGUGUAAAAUCUUAAGGAUAAAAUUUCUCUGCAAGCUUGCAAAUAUUAUUCAUGUUAAAUGAUUCAAAAGAAUUUUUCGAAUCCAAUGCCACACCGAGAGAAAGAAGUUCUAAUGAUGUCUCACUAAAUCUUGUAUCUAACUCCGUCAUUAGAAAAUCUAUGGCUGCAUUAAAAAUAUCGAAGUAGUAAUGAUGUUCGAUGGUAGGAUACUCAUGACCACGAGAACGACCAACCAUGUAUGAGCUAUGAAAGUGAGGUAUAUGUAUAUCAUUUUUUGAACAAAAACAAUUCACCUCUUCAAGAAAUUCUUCCCAGCUAUCUUUUCUCAAUUCUUGAAUGAUGAUUUUUGUAGUAUGGACAAAUCUCAUAGCAGUUAAGAUGUCUUGAGUUUUUUUUUUCUGAAAGGCUUGAAAAAGCACAUCUGUGAUUGCCAACAUUCUGCGCAUUAAAUGCAAAAUAAAUACAAAUUCAAAUGUUGUCAAUUUUUUGUAUACACCAUCCACUUCAGACCGAGUUCUUACAUUUGGAGAAUGAUCACUAAGAUACUUAAGUACCUUGCAAGUUGCAGCAUAAAUAUCAAUCAAACUCUUUACAGAGUUGUAAUGAGAAGACCAACGAGUACCUCCAGCUCGUUGCAAGUUACCAAUUUGAUUAGCCACACUUCCAGUCUCUCGUUCUCUAAUUUCCAACAAAUGUUCAAUUUCUUUUUUUUGGGAGCUUUUCAACUCAUUGAUGCGCUUAGAAGAUGAUGUAAUCAUAUUAAUAACAUUGUCCAAAUCUGAAAUGAAUGAAUUAAUAUCUGCAACAUCCCUAGCUGCUGAAACCAACAUGAGUUGUAAACGAUGAGCAAAACAAUGGACAUAAUAUGCAUAUGGACAAUCUCUAAGAAAUAAUGCUUGUAGUCCAUUCCAAGCACCACGCAUGUUAUUAGCACCAUCAUACCCUUGACCUCUUAUGUUUUGCACUUGAAUGUUGAAACGAACAAGAACAUCAGAAAUUUGAUUCUUAAGAUUCAACGAUGUAGUGUCACUAACACUUUUGAUUGCAAAAAAAAGCUCUGUCAAAAUUUCAUUACCAUUCACAAACCUCAAGAUAAUAGCCAUUUGUUCUUGUGAAGAUGCAUCUCGAGCUUCAUCAACAAGAAUACUAAACUUUGCAUCCCCAAUUUCUUUACGGAUUCACUGUCUUACUCUGUUAGUCAUAAUGCUCAAAAUCUCUUUUUGAAUGUCUGGAGAUGUGUAUGUAGCAUUUUUUGGAGCAUUACCCAACACAACUUCUCCUAUUUUUGUAUUCAUUUUUCCAAAUGCAUCUACCAUUUCAAGAAAGUUCCCACGAUUCAGUGAAGAUGGAGAUUCAUCAUUGCCUCUAAAUGAACAACUUUGAAGUGCUAGCCACCGAACACUCAUAAUUGUGGUCAUUAGACUCAAACGAUUUUUCUGUUUUUCCUCACUUGAUACAUCGUGUAUUAUCUUGUCAAUAUGUUGUGUUGGUUUCAUUAGAUCUUCAGCUCUUCUCUUACAGCCAUUAUGAUAUGAUGAAGAUGUUGUACCAAUAUGAACAAGAAAUGCACAUUUACUUCCCUGACCAACCCUCUUCCAACUAUCAAAUUCAAUAGUAACCAAUGAUGAAAUAUUAGGUGGAACGCUUUCAUUGAGAAAAAGAAAGCAGAAAAAGCAAUAUGCCUUAUGUGUUGAAGGCGAAUACUCCAACCAAGAAUACUGAUUGUACCAAUGCUCUUGAAAUUGACGUUCUGUUUUCCAAAUUCUUUGCUUUGAUACUCCAAAAGUUUUGGUUGAUAAGGCCUAGCUUUUAAAUAGGCAUGCCUAAUUUGAUCACGUUCAUUAAACGGAUAUUCAUAUAUUUGCUUUCUUUUUCCUGGGUCUCGUUCUAUAGAAUCAGAUGGUUCUAACUCAACAUUGAAAAAUAAAGACCGUUCAAUUUUAGGAGAUGCAAUUGGAGGAUUAGGUAUCAUAGGAGUUGGAGUAGCAAUUGGAGGAUUGGGUACCGUAGGAGUUGGACCACCCUUGGGUUUGUCGCUCUUUGUAAAAAAAGAUAAUAAGGUUCUUCCUUUCUUGGCAAGAGGUCGAUUUGGUUUCAUAUUAAAAUCUAAAAGCAUAAAAAAAAUCAAAACACUUCAGUAUCCCAACAAUCCAAAAACAAUCCACUAGCAACAUUUUAACCACUUAUCUAACCUUUCAAAAAUAUAAUAACUAGUUAAAAAUUCAACACCAAAUCUUAGAAUUAUCAUACACUCAUAUCCAGAUCCAAAUAUCGUAUUAAACAUAAGUAUAUAUAAAUGGCAGAAGAUAAUAUAAAAGAUCAAUUACUUACAAGAAAAGGUAUUGGAUUCACCAUACAGAAUGAAGCUGGAAAAAUUGCUGUGCUUGAAGUACCUAGGCAACAGAAUAGUGGAAAAUUUGUGAAAAUCCCAAACAAUAAAACUGUUUCCGGCUCUAUUCCAUGAGAUCACUAAAUCUGUAGAGAUCGAGAGAGAGAGAUGCGUUGUAAAUCUGGGCAGGGAAUGAAUGUGAAGGAUAUAUCCAAACCUAAAGUAAACAACAUUUAAAUCACAUGAAGACAAGGUAAGUUAGGUAACUCUCAUUUUGACACUUAAAUGCUAACUGUCAUUUUGAUACUAAAAUGCCAAAAGAAUAUCUCAAUUUUUAUAAUCUCACAGCUCUAAGCUUAAGAAAAUAAUUAGUCAAGCAUUCCUAUUACAAAACUAUGUCAGAAAGGAAAAUAGAAUAGCGAAAAGAAAGCUAAUCGAAUAGACACUAAUUUGUAGUAACUUUAAUUGUGACUCUUUCUACUUUUAAAUGGUUUAAAUUAGAGAGUAAAACACAUAAAUAUCAAAGUUAAACUUCAUUCUUUGUACAAAGGAUUUGCUCAGAGUUACAUCAGUACUCAAUUAGAAAUUUUUAAGAACAAACUAAAGGAGUAACAACUCCACAACUCCCAAGAAAGAGUUGGCUAAAGAGAAGAGAAUACUAAAAUGACUUCUAAAAUAGAGGGCUCGAUAUCAAUAAACUAAAACAGAACCAAAACUCCUUUUUGUUUUUAUUCCCCGCCUAAGAAACUGAAAAACGACCAUUAAAGCCAGAGAGCUCCAGCUUCUUUGAGUAGUGGAACCAAAAUGCCAUUAAUAUGUGAUGCCAUAACUCGUUAAUGGGUUCGCUAAAGCCUAAUUCCAAUUAAAAAAAGUACCACAAAUAAAUCUUAUUAAAACUAAACAUAUUCAGCAAAGCUAAAAUAUAUUAAAUAAAAAGUUUUUUAGAAGGACAAACUCCAGAAUCACAAAACUCUAAUUACAUAAUCCCAGUCUCCAGAAGCCCUUCUCGUGAUUAACCUUAAAAAAAUUAAAAUUAAAAAGAAUUAAAAAAAAUAAAAUUUGAUACCAACAAUAAAUCCGAACUUAAUUGAAAUUUAAUCCCGCAAGCCCAAACAACAAACACAUAUAUGAACUUAACUGAAAUUUAAAACAAAGAGAUUAUAAAUCCGAACCUGUACAAUGAUAUUCAGGUUGGGUUCGGCCGUUCAGGACCUUGGGGUCCUAGGGUUUC